rnacentral:rRNA from 1 species
AAUGAACGUUGGCGGCGUGGAUUAGGCAUGCAAGUCGAGCGCGAUAUGUAGCAAUACAUGGAGAGCGGCGAAAGGGAGAGUAAUACGUAGGUAUCUACCCUCGGGUCUGGGACAGCAGCGGGAAACUGCUGGUAAUACCAGAUAACGUCUCCGGACCAAAGGUGUGAUUCCACCUGAGGAGGAGCCUACGGCCUAUUAGCUAGUUGGUAGGGUAACGGCCUACCAAGGCAAAGAUGGGUAUGGGGUGUGAGAGCAUGCCCCCACUCACUGGGACUGAGACACUGCCCAGACACCUACGGGUGGCUGCAGUCGAGAAUCUUCGGCAAUGGGCGAAAGCCUGACCGAGCGACGCCGCGUGCGGGAUGAAGGCCUUCGGGUUGUAAACCGCUGUCGUAGUGGAGGAAAUGUA